rnacentral:rRNA from 1 species
GGUGUAGGCGCAGCGAAAGCGAGUCUUAAUAGGGCGUUUAGUCGCUGGGUAUAGACCCGAAACCGGGCGAUCUAUCCAUGAGCAGGUUGAAGGUUAGGUAACACUGACUGGAGGACCGAACCCACUCCCGUUGAAAAGGUAGGGGAUGACUUGUGGAUCGGAGUGAAAGGCUAAUCAAGCUCGGAGAUAGCUGGUUCUCCUCGAAAGCUAUUUAGGUAGCGCCUCAUGUAUCACUCUGGGGGGUAGAGCACUGUUUCGGCUAGGGGGUCAUCCCGACUUACCAAACCGAUGCAAACUCCGAAUACCCAGAAGUGCCGAGCAUGGGAGACACACGGCGGGUGCUAACGUCCGUCGUGAAAAGGGAAACAACCCAGACCGCCAGCUAAGGUCCCAAAGUUGUGGUUAAGUGGUAAACGAUGUGGGAAGGCUUAGACAGCUAGGAGGUUGGCUUAGAAGCAGCCAUCCUUUAAAGAAAGCGUAACAGCUCACUGGUCUAAAUAAGGGUUCUUGCGGCGAAAAUGUAUCGGGGCUAAAGCCAUGCACCGAAACUGCGGGGUUCUUCGGAACCGGUAGCGGAGCGUUCUGUAAGCUGAUGAAGGGUAACCGCGAGGAAGCCUGGAGGUAUCAGAAGUGAGAAUGCUGACAUGAGUAACGACAAAGAGUGUGAGAGACA